rnacentral:rRNA from 1 species
UACGUAGGGUGCGAGCGUUGUCCGGAAUUAUUGGGCGUAAAGAGCUUGUAGGUGGUUUGUCGCGUCUGCUGUGAAAAUCCGAGGCUCAACCUCGGACUUGCAGUGGGUACGGGCAGACUAGAGUGUGGUAGGGGAGACUGGAAUUCCUGGUGUAGCGGUGAAAUGCGCAGAUAUCAGGAGGAACACCGGUGGCGAAGGCGGAUCUCUGGGCCUUACCUGACGCUCAGGUGCGAAAGCUAGGGGAGCGAACAGG